AGGUGUGGGAGGUGUCGACUCCUCCCGUGCCGCAGCUAACGCAUUAAGUGCCCCGCCUGGGGAGUACGGCCGCAAGGCUAAAACUCAAAGGAAUUGACGGGGGCCCGCACAAGCAGCGGAGCAUGUGGUUUAAUUCGACGCAACGCGAAGAACCUUACCUGGGCUUGACAUGUUGGUCGUACCUGUGGAAACACAGGGUCAGUUCGGCUGGACCAUCACAGGUGGUGCAUGGCUGUCGU
rnacentral:rRNA from 1 species